rnacentral:rRNA from 1 species
AGAGUUUGAUCCUGGCUCAGGAUGAACGCUGGCGGCAUGCCUAAUACAUGCAAGUCGAACGAGAGGAAGGAAAGCUUGCUUUUCUGAAUCUAGUGGCGAACGGGUGAGUAACACGUAGGUAACCUGCCCAUGUGCCCGGGAUAACUUCUGGAAACGGAUGCUAAAACCGGAUAGGUAGCAGACAAGCAUUUGACUGCUAUUAAAGUGGCUAAGGCCAUGAACAUGGAUGGACCUGCGGUGCAUUAGCUAGUUGGUGAGGUAACGGCCCACCAAGGCGACGAUGCAUAGCCGGCCUGAGAGGGCGGACGGCCACAUCGGGACUGAGACACGGCCCAAACUCCUACGGGAGGCAGCAGUAGGGAAUUUUCGUCAAUAGGGGGAACCCUGAACGAGCAAUGCCGCGUGAGUGAAGAAGGUCUUCGGAUCGUAAAGCUCUGUUGUAAGAGAAAAACGACAUUCAUAGGGAAUGAUGAGUGAGUGAUGGUAUCUUACCAGAAAGUCACGGCUAACUACGUGCCAGCAGCCGCGGUAAUACGUAGGUGGCGAGCGUUAUCCGGAAUGAUUGGGCGUAAAGGGUGCGUAGGUGGCAGAACAAGUCCGGAGUAAAAGGUAUGGGCUCAACCCGUACUGGCUCUGGAAACUGUUCAGCUAGAGAACAGAAGAGGACGGCGGAACUCCAUGUGUAGCGGUAAAAUGCGUAGAUAUAUGGAAGAACACCGGUGGCGAAGGCGGCCGUCUGGUCUGUUGCUGACACUGAAGCACGAAAGCGUGGGGAGCAAAUAGGAUUAGAUACCCUAGUAGUCCACGCCGUAAACAAGAGAACUAGGUGUUGGGGGAAUAACCUCAGGGCCGCAGUUAAC